rnacentral:rRNA from 1 species
CGGGUACGGGUACGGAGUAACGCGUCGGGUAACCGUCGCCUUACACGANGGGGAUAACACCUGGAAACAGGUGCUAAUACCGCAUAAGCGCACAGGGCCGCAUGGCCCGGUGUGAAAAACUCCGGUGGUGUAAGAUGGACCCGCGUCUGAUUAGCUUGUUGGCGGGGUAGGGGCCCACCAAGGCGACGAUCAGUAGCCGGCCUGAGAGGGCGACCGGCCACAUUGGGACUGAGACACGGCCCAGACUCCUACGGGAGGCAGCAG